UCGGCACCAGGUGCUGGUGCUUGGGCAGCGCGGACUGCGGCUCGGCGCCCACGCGCUGCGUCGGCGAGUCCGGCGUGCGCAGCGACGGAUGCUCGGCC
rnacentral:tRNA from 1 species